rnacentral:pre_miRNA from 1 species
GUAGGUUGAAAUCGGAUACAACUAAAAGUUAUUUUUAAUUGUAUCCGGUCUUCAUUUUAG